rnacentral:lncRNA from 1 species
CCGAACCGUAAACUCCUCAGCUAGCCGAGGGUACAAUAACGCUGGACAGGAAACCAAGAAAGCCUUGACAAAUGACCCUUGAGCAUCCCGCAACACAUUAGCAAACUCAGUCUGCUGUUGAGCAGAAUCGACAUUACAUUUAAAGGCUCUCGCUAGAGGUGGUGACCAUGAACUGAUCGACAGCAUCUUGCCGCAAGGAGGGCGGCAAUUGCACUUGACCGUGACCCACAUGUGAAGCAUGUCAGUCGGAUCAAAACCGAGUGGCAAAGGCGAGGACUUGAGGGCCAUCCGUAACCGCAUUCUUCCAAAGGACCAAG